GUUUUUCGCUCUAAGAUGAGCUCGCGUGAGAUUAGCUAGUUGGUGAGGUAAUGGCUCACCAAGGCGACGAUCUCUAACAGGUCUGAGAGGAUGAUCUGUCACACUGGAACUGAGACACGGUCCAGACUCCUACGGGAGGCAGCAGUAGGGAAUAUUGCACAAUGGAGGAAACUCUGAUGCAGCGACGCCGCGUGAGUGAUGAAGGACUUCGGUUCGUAAAGCUCUGUCGUAUGGGAAUAAGAAAGUG
rnacentral:rRNA from 1 species